UACGGAGGAUCCGAGCGUUAUCCGGAUUUAUUGGGCGUAAAGCGAGCGCAGGUGGUUUAUUAAGUCUGGUGUAAAAGGCAGUGGCUCAACCAUUGUAUGCAUUGGAAACUGGUAGACUUGAGUGCAGGAGAGGAGAGUGGAAUUCCAUGUGUAGCGGUGAAAUGCGUAGAUAUAUGGAGGAACACCGGUGGCGAAAGCAGCUCUCUGGCCUGUAACUGACACUGAGGCUCGAAAGCGUGGGGAGCAAACAGG
rnacentral:rRNA from 1 species